AUUGAGUUAACCCCUUCAGGACCGCUGACGGUUCAGGACCGUCAGCGGUAAAACAUGCGUUUGGACCGCUGACGGUCCUUAAUCGCCAUAGCGAAAAAUGGGCUGCGGGAAGCGAUCAAACAUCACUCCCGCUGGUAUAACGCUGUAACUAUCUGCCAGACAUCCCAGGCAGAUAGUAACAGCCAAUUGCGGCGUGUGAGCGAUCCGCGAUCGCUCACAAUUGGCUGCUGUCAAAGUGGGUGUUACAAACACUCACUUUGACAGUGAUCUCUGCCCCUCUCUCCUCUGUAGCGUUUUGUGAGGCGAGAGAGAAAGAGAUUGUGAUAGUUUGUUGCAGCAGAAGUGUUCCAGAGCUUUAUACAGUAUCUAAAGUGAAUAAAAAAAUCCCCUUUGACCCCUUCCCUGCCAGAUCUGUUACAGCAGUGCAUUUGUACUGUCUGUAUUUUUUUUUGCCUUUAAAGAGUUAAAUUUGUUUUAAAAAUCUGUGUCUUGGUCUGUUUUAGUCAGUCAGUUUCCUUCCCCAAAAUCUCCAUUAGAUUUUUGUGACAGGAGUUAGUUUAGGGAUUGCUGUUUAGUCUGUUUUAGUAAAAAAAAGGAUAAAAACAAAUUUGUGUGUUUGUAAUUUGUUUUAGUCAUGUGUAAAACAUGCAGCGCAUGUAUAAUUUGCAGGAGGCAUAUGCUUUCUUGGUGUCAGACUCUGACGCCACUGACACUGCGUCAGAUUUUAAACCAGGUCAGUUUUCUGACAUGUCUAGUCAAGACGACAUGUCAUCUGUGUGUGAGCCGGCUGAAGAAAGAAGCUGUGCUUCCUCUGCUACGCUGAAUGUGGAGGAGGACUGGGUACCUCCACAGUUAGCCGAGCCCAACGUCCCCCCUUUUAGUGCCAACGCAGGCAUUAAUGUUAAUGUGGAUGGCUUCUCCCCAAUGCAGUAUGUAGAACUAUUUUUAGGGGAUACCAUCUGGGAGGAAAUUGCUUCCCAGACUAACUUGUAUGCUACCCAAUUUAUUGAUAACAAUCCAGGUAGCUAUACAGUCAGGGAGCAUGACUGGCAUCCCACAGAUGUCCCAGAGCUUAAAAAAUUCUUGGCUCUUACAAUGCUCAUGGGGAUUAUAAAGAAGCCAUCAAUUCGCUCAUACUGGAGCACCAACCCAAUAAUGUCUUGUCCAGUAUUCUCCAAAACCAUGCAUAGAGCCAGAUCAGAGUUACUGCUGAGAUUUUUACAUUUCAGUGACAAUACCCUCUGUCACCCUAGAGAUCACCCCCAAUACGAUAGGCUUUAGAAAAUACGCCCACUGCUAGACCAUUUUCAGGACAAAUUUUCGGAUGAUUAUACCCCCCAACAAAAUGUAUCCAUAGAUGAAUCUCUAAUGAAAUACAAAGAGAGAUUAGGGUUCAGACAAUACAUCCCCCUCAAAGCGCUCUAGGUAUGGCAUAAAACUGUAUAAACUGUGCGAGAGCGAAAGUGGAUACACGUUUGCCUCUCGUCUAUAUGAGGGGAAAGAUGGUCAACUGGACCCUCCUGGCUGUCCUGAGUCCCUGGGGACAAGUGGGAAACUUGUAUGGGACCUACUAAACCCCUUGUUUAAUAAAGGUUACCACCUUUAUGUGGAUAAUUUUUAUAGUAGUGUCCGUCUGUUUAAAACACUUUAUGGUUUACAGACACUGGCCUGCGGCACUGCCAGAAAAAAUUCCAAAGACUUUCCACGAUCUCUCACGAUCUUUCCACGCAAAAUGAAAAAAAGCUGAAGUGCUUGCACUAAAAUUUAGGGACAGGAAGGAUGUCAAUAUGCUAACCACCAUCCAUGACGAACGCAUGACAGACGUCUCUGUCCGGGGCAGAGUAGAGUCCAAACCGGUUUGCAUCUGGGCGUAUAAUAAGUACAUGGGGGGUGUUGAUCUGGCUGAUCAGCUGAUGCAGCCAUAUCUUAUUUUAAGAAAAACCAAAGCAUGGUAUAAAAAGGUGGCUAUCGAUAUGAUGCAAAUAGCAAUCCAUAACUCAUUUUUGCUAUUUAAAAAAAAUAAUCCAGGGAAAACCACCUUUCUCCAAUUUCAGUUGAAAAUUAUUUCUUUAACAAUUUAUGGAGAUGGACAAGUUCCAACAACGGUGCAAGCUGAGUCCAGACAUUUUAUUUUUAUGAAACCCCCCCAGAAACGUUGCCGGGUCUGUUUCAAAAACGGGAAAAGGACAGACACCCCUUUUCACUGUCACAAUUGCCCUUUGAAACCAGGACUGUGUGUAGGAACAUGUUUCAAGCUGUACCACACAGAACAGUUGUAAGAAGUGUUCCUGAAUUUUUAUUUUAUUUUUUGUUUCUUUGGAAAGCAGCCAUACUACCUCAAUGUUUGACAAAGCCUGGUGGUAGAAUUAGUGCAUGGAAAGUUUUAAAAUACCACCAUGUGAAAUACCCUAGGGUGUCUACUUUUCAAAAAUAUAUGGUUUAAUGGGGGUAAAAUACAUUGGCCGGCUUUAAAAAUGUCCCAAAUAGGACAUGCAUGCAGGUUGACUACAUGUCAAAAUUCCAAGCUGAGAAACUGAUAUGCGCACCUGCAAAAUGGGGUGUUGUUUUAACAGAAUCUGUGAAUUUAUACCUGAAUUGCAAUGUAUGUGAAAAAAAUUUAAAAAAUAAACUACCUAUGCAAAGUUUGGCAAAGGUUUGUGGUAAAAUGGCUACAUAGAAAGUAUCAAAAUAUUCUUUGAUGUAUACCCUGGGUUAUCUAGUUUAAGAAAAAUAUAUACAUGUGUGGUGUUUUUUGGAGAUUUAUGACAUAACAGUGUUACAAUGUCACUAUUAAUACAUUUGAAAAAUGUACAUUUUGAAACAGCAAUUUCCUACUUGUACUUAUAGCC